rnacentral:misc_RNA from 1 species
AACGCACAUUGCGCCCCUUGGUAUUCCGGGGGGCAUGCCUGUUCGAGCGUCACUUCAACCUUCAAGCACUGCUUGGUAUUGGGCCACGCCAGCAAUGGCGAGCCUUAAAAUCAGUGGCGGCGCCGCUGGGCCCUGAGCGUAGUAAUUACUCCUCGCUACUGGGUCCCGGUGGAUGCUUGCCAUCAACCCCCAAUUUUCUAUGGUUGACCUCGGAUCAGGUAGGGAUACCCGCUGAACUUAA